AUGCUCGCUUUGGAAGCACAUAUACUAACAUUGUACCGAUACAGAGAUUAGUGUGGCCACUGCUCAAGGAUGACAUGCAAAUCUGUGAAGCGUUGCAUUAAAAA
ensembl:snRNA U6 U6 spliceosomal RNA